ensembl:lncRNA
UGAUGCAGGCUGCUGUGAAGCGCGUUCACAAGAGUUCUAACAGUUCGUACACUGCGUUAAUCAGAGCCGUGAUUCCCAUCCACUUACAUUAUAUGAGUGAUAGACUGCAACGGUUUGAGUUAAAAAUCUUGGUUUGUGUUCUACUGAACAAAAAACAAAGUCACCUACAUCUUGGAUGCUCUGUGGGCAUUGGAUGUGCCACCGGCAGUGAGGAAGAGGGCCGCUGGCAUGCCAUGGGCUGAGCACGUCAGGUGCCAACAGAGCCAGACAUUAUGGAAUAAAUCAGUCCACUGCGGCUCAUCUGACUUCAGCAGAGCUGAUGACCUUCCAAGUUCUGAUCAGCCUCCAGUUACCACAGCAGAUCUCAGAUCAGCACUCCUCUCUGCUGCUGGUUUAGCUUGUUAGCUGUUAGUCCCUGCUGGCUCAUGCUGUAACGUUAUGACAGAUAGCAUAACAUUUUUGCAAGCAACAACACAAGUCACAAAUAUUUCAUUACAGGAGCCCCUGGGUCGAGAGGAGAUCGGGGAAGGAAGCUAUCAUCAAAUAUAGACAAUAAUCUGAUAAUGUGUUAUGCAUAACUCAGCCAGCACAUCUGUCUGAGAGAUGGAUGGUUUGUUUGUGUUUGUGUGAUUCUCACAAACUGAAAGAACUUCUAAUGCAUCUACUACAUUUCUGUCAGUGAUUGUUGCCAAAUAGAUUUAAUUACUGAUGAUGAAUCUACUGUACUGUAAAUGAUGGAGCUGUCAGAGAGAGGUGUUUGUAAUUCUAUAAAACAGAUUCAUUUUGCCUCAUUAGUGCUGUUUGCUAAUGCAACCAUCACUGUUACUGUUACUCAGUGAUUCGUUCUACAGAUGUCAGUGAUGCCUCAAACCAUGUGACUUGUUGCAGGAGACGAGAAGAUUAUUUUUUAAGAGAUCAGAUGCAAGAUUUCCACUUAGCAGGUGAUAAAACUGUUGCAAAAUCCUGACAUUAUGGUGGUGAGCUUUGCACAUGUAUUUUCUUCAGAAAAACCAGCAUUGAAGUAAAUGAUUUAUGUGGGUUUUUUUUUUUAUGAUGUGCCUGAUGUUACUCGACCU